GGUAAUUCUAAGAUUUAAAGGAACAUUCAAUGCACAAUAACAAACUAUUCUCUGAGUAGAGGUUAUGGUCCUAGCCCCUGUUUGUACAAAUCACUGCAACGCUAAUCCUACAUCCUUCAGUGAUGUCAUGAGUAGUGCAUUUUGUAUUUACAUUGGCUUCCCAUAUCAUUCAGAAUCCAAUUCAAACUAUAUUGCAAAAGUGUUGGCAGAACCCGCACUCAAUUCCUGAGCAGCCACCCGGUGCUCCGGAGCAGGACCAGCAAUCCCACAACAGCAAAGCAACAGAAGAAAUAUCUCCAGGCACUCAGGACGUUAAAGCCGC